rnacentral:rRNA from 1 species
CCUACGGGGGGCAGCAGUGGGGAAUAUUGCACAAUGGGGGAAACCCUGAUGCAGCGACGCCGCGUGAAGGAAGAAGUAUUUCGGUAUGUAAACUUCUAUCAGCGGGGAAGAAAUUGACGGUACCUGACUAAGAAGCACCGGCUAAAUACGUGCCAGCAGCCGCGGUAAUACGUAUGGUGCAAGCGUUAUCCGGAUUUACUGGGUGUAAAGGGAGCGUAGACGGAGAGGCAAGUCUGAAGUGAAAGCCCGGGGCUCAACCCCGGGACUGCUUUGGAAACUGCAGUUCUAGAGUGCCGGAGAGGUAAGCGGAAUUCCUAGUGUAGCGGUGAAAUGCGUAGAUAUUAGGAGGAACACCAGUGGCGAAGGCGGCUUACUGGACGGUGACUGACGUUGAGGCUCGAAAGCGUGGGGAGCAAACAGGAUUAGAUACCCGAGUAGUC